ACAGGACUGUGUAGCCUCCACUCUGGGCAACACAGGACUGUGUAGCCUCCACUCUGGGCAACACAGGACUGUGUAGCCCCCACUCGGGGCAACACAGGACUGUGUAGCCUCCACUCUGGGCAACACAGGACUGUGUAGCCUCCACUCUGGGCAACACAGGACUAUGUAGCCUCCACUCUGGGCAACACAGGACUGUGUAGCCUCCACUCUGGGCAACACAGGACUGUGUAGCCUCCACUCUGGGCAACACAGGACUGUGUAGCCUCCACUCUGGGCAACACAGGACUGUGUAGCCCCCACUCUGGGCAACACAGGACUGUGUAGCCUCCACUCUGGGCAACACAGGACUGUGUAGCCCCCACUCUGGGCAACACAGUACAUGAAUGUUUGUGUUUUGAGGUCAAACACGAGGCCGGGGUUAGGUCAUCACACCUCGUAACUACAGCCAGCUGUGAACACCUGCUACUCCUCAACACACAUUCAUAUCAUUAACCAGAAACAAUUCACUCACUACACACCACCACAUGUCAUUCACCUGGGCUGUAAAAGACUCGAACCAUAGACUCCCACGUGUGUGAGGCAGAAGCUCUAUCCACUCAGCUAUGAGUAGUCUUACUUAGGACAGAUUCCAGAAGCAACUACUUUAGCUAUGCUGGAAUUUGUAACUUUCCCCGACUACUACUGAAGCUCAGAGGCUUCAGUAGUAGUCGAGGUGUCCCGCGCCCCACAGCCCAGGUGACUGAAAUGUUUACCUCCACAGAAGUGUGGAGGACAAAUGUACACCUCCACCACCACCACACUCCGGCACCGAGAUCAUACUUUAUUACUCACGGGUCUUCCCGUGACGUUACUGAAGCUUUACUCGCUCAUUGUAUGUCUUCCGCUCAGUCCGGGGUCGGCACUGGUGCCUGUGAAACUGUUGCAAUCAUUUCUCCAGAAUUAUCUUAGGUUGUCAAGAAUCAACACCUCAUAUUUUAAAGAUUAAAAUGAGAUAUUUAGUAACGUUAUCAGUGAGAGUGUCUGCGAGGAACUCUUACAAUGACUAAUUAUAUAAUAUUAAACAAAUUCAGUUAGUUCUAUUAUUCCUCAUAAGGUGCUGACACUGCCGCCGUCAGCCACGCAAACACAAGGUUACCAUCACAAUGGAAUUUGUCUACGGUACAGUAACGUAGCGAGGUGUUGUAGUAACGUGAGACAACAAGGAAGCCGUCAGGUGGAGUAGCGAGGUGUUGUAGUAACGUGAGACAACAAGGAAGCCGUCAGGUGGAGUAGCGAGGUGUUGUAGUAACGAGAGACAACAAGGAAGUCGUCAGGUGGAGUAGCGAGGUGUUGUAGUAACGUGAGACAACAAGGAAGUCGUCAGGUGGAGUAGCGAGGUGUUGUAGUAACGUGAGACAACAAGGAAGUCGUCAGGUGGAGUAGCGAGGUGUUGUAGUAACGAGAGACAACAAGGAAGCCGUCAGGUGGAGUAGCGAGGUGUUGUAGUAACGUGAGACAACAAGGAAGCCGUCAGGUGGAGUAGCGAGGUGUUGUAGUAACGUGAGACAACAAGGAAGCCGUCAGGUGGAGUAGCGAGGUGUUGUAGUAACGAGAGACAACAAGGAAGUCGUCAGGUGGAGUAGCGAGGUGUUGUAGUAACGUGAGACAACAAGGAAGUCGUCAGGUGGAGUAGCGAGGUGUUGUAGUAACGUGAGACAACAAGGAAGUCGUCAGGUGGAGUAGCGAGGUGUUGUAGUAACGAGAGACAACAAGGAAGUCGUCAGGUGGAGUAGCGAGGUGUUGUAGUAACGAGAGACAACAAGGAAGUCGUCAGGUGGAGUAGCGAGGUGUUGUAGUAACGAGAGACAACGAGGAAGUCGUCAGGUGGAGUAGCGAGGUGUUGUAGUAACGAGAGACAACAAGGAAGUCGUCAGGUGGAGUAGCGAGGUGUUGUAGUAACGAGAGACAACAAGGAAGUCGUCAGGUGGAGUAGCGAGGUGUUGUAGUAACGAGAGACAACGAGGAAGUCGUCAGGUGGAGUAGCGAGGUGUUGUAGUAACGAGAGACAACAAGGAAGUCGUCAGGUGGAGUAGCGAGGUGUUGUAGUAACGUGAGACAACAAGGAAGUCGUCAGGUGGAGUAGCGAGGUGGUGGAGUAGCGAGGUGUUGUAGUAACGAGAGACAACGAGGAAGUCGUCAGGUGGAGUAGCGAGGUGUUGUAGUAACGUGAGACAACAAGGAAGUCGUCAGGUGGAGUAGCGAGGUGGUGGAGUAGCGAGGUGUUGUAGUAACGUGAGACAACAAGGAAGUCGUCAGGUGGAGUAGCGAGGUGUUGUAGUAACGAGAGACAACAAGGAAGUCGUCAGGUGGAGUAGCGAGGUGUUGUAGUAACGUGAGACAACAAGGAAGCCGUCAGGUGGAGUAGCGAGGUGUUGUAGUAACGUGAGACAACAAGGAAGCCGUCAGGUGGAGUAGCGAGGUGUUGUAGUAACGUGAGACAACAAGGAAGCCGUCAGGUGGAGUGUGGCUCAGUAGGACUGAGCCACACUGUGUGGAGCAGCUCCAACAGUUGUGAUGUUAUACACAUUGUAAAUAUAACAACAAGGCCUUGAUGCUUCUGUUUAUUUUGUUAUGAUAAAUGCAAAUUAUGUGUUUGGACCUUAGUGAAUGUAUGUCGUGUCGUCAAAAAUAUAUUCACGAUUGUUCAAUAUUGUUAAAAUUAUUAAA
rnacentral:lncRNA from 1 species